CCCUUUGGGUGUGACUGCGUACCUUUUGUAUAAUGGGUCAGCGACUUAUAUUCUGUAGCAAGGUUAACCGAAUAGGGGAGCCGGAGGGAAACCGAGUCUUAACCGGGCGUUAAGUUGCAGGGUAUAGACCCGAAACCCGGUGAUCUAGCCAUGGGCAGGUUGAAGGUUGGGUAACACUAACUGGAGGACCGAACCGACUAAUGUUGAAAAAUUAGCGGAUGACCUGUGGCUGGGGGUGAAAGGCCAAUCAAACCGGGAGAUAGCUGGUUCUCCCCGAAAGCUAUUUAGGUAGCGCCUCGUGAAUUCAUCUCCGGGGGUAGAGCACUGUUUCGGCUAGGGGGCCAUCCCGGCUUACCAACCCGAUGCAAACUGCGAAUACCGGAGAAUGUUAUCACGGGAGACACACGGCGGGUGCUAACGUCCGUCGUGAAGAGGGAAACAACCCAGACCGCCAGCUAAGGUCCCAAAGUCAUGGUUAAGUGGGAAACGAUGUGGGAAGGCCCAGACAGCCAGGAUGUUGGCUUAGAAGCAGCCAUCAUUUAAAGAAAGCGUAAUAGCUCACUGGUCGAGUCGGCCUGCGCGGAAGAUGUAACGGGGCUAAACCAUGCACCGAAGCUGCGGCAGCGACACUGUGUGUUGUUGGGUAGGGGAGCGUUCUGUAAGCCUGUGAAGGUGUGUCGUGAGGCAUGCUGGAGGUAUCAGAAGUGCGAAUGCUGACAUAAGUAACGAUAAAGCGGGUGAAAAGCCCGCUCGCCGGAAGACCAAGGGUUCCUGUCCAACGUUAAUCGGGGCAGGGUGAGUCGACCCCUAAGGCGAGGCCGAAAGGCGUAGUCGAUGGGAAACGGGUUAAUAUUCCCGUACUUGGUGUUACUGCGAAGGGGGGACGGAGAAGGCUAUGUUGGCCGGGCGACGGUUGUCCCGGUUUAAGCGUGUAGGUGUGUGUUCCAGGUAAAUCCGGUUCACUUUAACACUGAGGCGUGACGACGAGGCACUACGGUGCUGAAGCAACAAAUGCCCUGCUUCCAGGAAAAGCCUCUAAGCAUCAGGUAACAUCAAAUCGUACCCCAAACCGACACAGGUGGUCAGGUAGAGAAUACCAAGGCGCUUGAGAGAACUCGGGUGAAGGAACUAGGCAAAAUGGUGCCGUAACUUCGGGAGAAGGCACGCUGACACGUAGGUGAAGUGAUUUACUCAUGGAGCUGAAGUCAGUCGAAGAUACCAGCUGGCUGCAACUGUUUAUUAAAAACACAGCACUGUGCAAACACGAAAGUGGACGUAUACGGUGUGACGCCUGCCCGGUGCCGGAAGGUUAAUUGAUGGGGUCAGCGCAAGCGAAGCUCCUGAUCGAAGCCCCGGUAAACGGCGGCCGUAACUAUAACGGUCCUAAGGUAGCGAAAUUCCUUGUCGGGUAAGUUCCGACCUGCACGAAUGGCGUAAUGAUGGCCAGGCUGUCUCCACCCGAGACUCAGUGAAAUUGAACUCGCUGUGAAGAUGCAGUGUACCCGCGGCAAGACGGAAAGACCCCGUGAACCUUUACUAUAGCUUGACACUGAACAUUGAGCCUUGAUGUGUAGGAUAGGUGGGAGGCUUUGAAGUGUGGACGCCAGUCUGCAUGGAGCCGACCUUGAAAUACCACCCUUUAAUGUUUGAUGUUCUAACGUGGACCCGUUACCCGGGUUGCGGACAGUGUCUGGUGGGUAGUUUGACUGGGGCGGUCUCCUCC
rnacentral:rRNA from 1 species